UACGUAGGGUCCGAGCGUUGUCCGGAGUUACUAGGCGUAAAGCGCGCGCAGGCGGCGGUGCUGGCCCGGCGUGAAAGCCCCCGGCUCAACCGGGGAGAGUCGUCGGGGACCGCACCGCUUGAGGGCGGUAGGGGCUGGUGGAAUGCCUGGUGUAGUGGUGAAAUGCGUAGAUAUUGGGAAGAACACCGGUGGCGAAGGCGGCCAACUGGACCAUAACUGACACUGAGGGACGAAAGCUAGGGGAGCGAAAGGG
rnacentral:rRNA from 1 species